rnacentral:misc_RNA from 1 species
AACGCACAUUGCGCCCCCUGGUAUUCCGGGGGGCAUGCCUGUUCGAGCGUCAUUUCACCACUCAAGCCUCGCUUGGUAUUGGGCGACGCGGUCCGCCGCGCGCCUCAAAUCGACCGGCUGGGUCUUCUGUCCCCUCAGCGUUGUGGAAACUAUUCGCUAAAGGGUGCUCGGGAGGCUACGCCGUAAAACAACCCCAUUUCUAAGGUUGACCUCGGAUCAGGUAGGGAUACCCGCUGAACUUAA